UGCCUUCAGCCAGCCCCAGCUCUGCUGUCCCCACAAGGGCACCGAGCGAGCAGAGGGGCGAGCGCAAAAGAGAGCAGGGGGUCAGCAGGAGGAAGUCAGGGCUCUGAACUGUGCAUGAAGCUGCUGCUGCUGCUGCCAAGGGCCUCCUGCCAAGGAGGGGAACAUGCCCUUUCCAUGCCCCAUGCACACAGUCUCUCCUUGCUCAGCGUCAAGGCCACAGCGUACCCAGCGCUGCUGUGAGAAAGCAAAAUAGGCAAGUAAACAGCAGCUGCCUUUAGCUCCCAACACGUCUCGGUUGGUUGCUCCUGUUUUCUUGUCAGGGGAGUGGUUCAGCUAAGGGAAAGGUGAUUGAACCAUUACCAGAAGGGAAAAACACCUAUUAAAAUUGAAAUAAUUCAAAAUACUGGAAGUGGUUCCUUUAUGUGAGCAUACCUGUUCGAUUUGGCCACGAGCCUGUCCUUAGCAAUCCUUUUUUUUCUCUGCUGCUGACAAACCCAUGUUCAAGAGCUGCAGGGUCAUUCCUGACCUGAAGGGAAGGAGAGCAGGAGAAGUGUCCUGGUCUGUACUGAUGCACAGAUCUGCCUUUGUGAUGGCCACUCCCAGAGCAAUGAACCUGGAGGAAAUUCAUGCCUGAACUGAUGAAGCUCAGUUUUAUUCUCAGCUUCUCAUUUGAAAUAUGAAAGUUUUUCUUCCAUCUGCAUUUUCCCCAAGGUGUUCCUAAUUAAAGAUCUGUGGUUAAUUCUG